UUCGCAAGGUCGCAUGGCGGCUCCUCCCGACCACUCUGGGUUCUGAUCCGAUCGAUGCGGGAGGGACGACUCCCAUGGCCACCGCGCUGGAUUCUGGCCGACGCGACGAACGCCCUGGCCGGCGAGAAGAUCCGGCGGCCGCGCGUGAUGCGGGUGAAUCGGGGGCCGGCCGAUCCAGCCGACGCGGUCGUUCGCCUGCGAAUUGGAAAUGGAGGGACGCCAUCGAUGAUGGCCGGCGCCUCAUCCGCUGGAUACUCGGCAACGAUGCCGCGGCCUUUAGGUUGGGUUACGAGUGCGCGGUCCAUGGUUCCGCUACCGUCCGUUGAAAGAUCGGACAUCAUGGUUUUUGUCAUUACCCUGCCACUAAUCAUCCGAAGAGAUGGAGAUGAGGUUGCUGUUUGACCAUGAUACGAAGAGUGUCUUUGGGAUUGGAGGAUAAUGACUGGGUUCAAACCAUUUUGCUUCCCGACAACGUAAUAGUUGUGCAACAUAUUGAUUAAACAAGUGGAGAAUUUACUAUUUGUUCAGAUGGCAAAGAAGCACUCAUCUGCAGUUAAAGUGAUGCCGAAAUUCUGGAACCUGAGCAAGAGAAGCAUGUUUUCACAAAAUUAUGAGAAGAUCUGCUGAAUAGACUACGUUUUCUGCAUUGUGCGCUCUUGUCUCAAUUGCUGCAAGUACUUUUGACAAAAUGCUAUUUAUCCGUUCAAGUUAAUCUGAAGAAUUGGUACUAAUUGUAAGUCUACUUCAUCUGAUCUUGUCUCUUUAAUUAUUUUUGAGUAUAUAAUUUUUUCUGACUUCUCCAUACCACAAAAUACAACACAAAUUUUUACAUGCUUAUAUGUAUGGUGUAUGGUGUUUAUUUUUCUUUUGGUGGUUCAUUUCUUCUUUACGGGAAGUAUGUAAUACAUUGAAUGCAAACAUAGCAGAACCUGUAUUCUAGGAUUUUACAUGCUCAUAUGCAUGGUGUCAGCUCUAACAAGGUACAAUAUUUUCAAAAGGGUUAGUGCCCAAGUUCUACAGAAUUACGCAGACAUAGUUUGUUCUGUUGACCUAAGAACAUGACUUCUCUUUAUUUUCUCUCCUAAGGCUUUGAGCUUCGUGGAAGCUAUUUCUAUGAUGAAAGGGAUAAGAACUUAGUCCUUUUAGAUAAGGAACAUACAUAAAUUAUUUCAAAACUGUAUCAUUUGGGAAACAAAUAAUAGUUCCGUCAAUUUGUAUCGAGUAGUGACAUAUGAGUAACCCUCACUUGGUCUCAUUGAAAUCUUGCCGCUAUUCAGCCAAAGCCAGUAACAUUUCUAAGCAAUGUGGUCUAUUUCUGCUCGAUCAGUGGAGCCUCGGUGGAUCUGUAUCACAAUCAUUACAAGAUGAGCUUGUGACUUUGAGAGGACACCAUUCCAUUUAUCACGAGUUAAUGGGGAAAUCCUACAGAAACUUAAAUAUGAAUUUCAAGUAAAUUUCGUUUCUUUCUUCGUUUUCUUGAACUAUUAGCUUUCUCAAGGGUCGUAUUCACAUAGUUAUUUCCUCAAUCAUAUAUUGUUAAUAACUUCUGUUUCAGCUAUUGCUACCACUUUUGUGGCCAUUUAUUCGAGAAUGCUGCUCGCUACGAAUACACAACAAGGAUGACAUUGAGGCCAUCAGGACACACCGGUUAAUGUCCAAGCACUGGCAGCCUGAUGCCUAAGAUAAUUGUAUAAUUUAGCACCCCAAAUCUCAAUGUGUGAUGUGAAAGCAUACUGUAUUUACUUUAUGGUUGUUUCAUUCUUGCCCUCCUCAAAGUGGAACAUUGUGAUUCUGUGCACAUGUUUUUUUACAAUUAUAUCUCCAUGUGCCUAGCAUUCUUAUGUCACGGCUCAUUUUUGUUUAAAUUCACGGAUGCCGCAAAACAAGUUGGGGCCGUAACGGUUUGUUUGCCAGUUGAAUACGAAUUACUGCUUUA